rnacentral:rRNA from 1 species
GGGGAAUAUUGGACAAUGGGCGAAAGCCUGAUCCAGCAAUGCCGCGUGAGUGAUGAAGGCCUUAGGGUUGUAAAGCUCUUUUACCAGGGAUGAUAAUGACAGUACCUGGAGAAUAAGCUCCGGCUAACUCCGUGCCAGCAGCCGCGGUAAUACGGAGGGAGCUAGCGUUGUUCGGAAUUACUGGGCGUAAAGCGCACGUAGGCGGCUUUUUAAGUCAGGGGUGAAAUCCCGGGGCUCAACCCCGGAACUGCCCUUGAAACUGGAAAGCUAGAAUACUGGAGAGGUGAGUGGAAUUCCGAGUGUAGAGGUGAAAUUCGUAGAUAUUCGGAAGAACACCAGUGGCGAAGGCGACUCACUGGACAGUUAUUGACGCUGAGGUGCGAAAGCGUGGGGAGCAAA